GAUGAACGCUGGCGGCGUGCCUAAUACAUGCAAGUCGAGCGAACAGACGAGGAGCUUGCUCCUCUGACGUUAGCGGCGGACGGGUGAGUAACACGUGGAUAACCUACCUAUAAGACUGGGAUAACUUCGGGAAACCGGAGCUAAUACCGGAUAAUAUAUUGAACCGCAUGGUUCAAUAGUGAAAGACGGUUUUGCUGUCACUUAUAGAUGGAUCCGCGCCGCAUUAGCUAGUUGGUAAGGUAACGGCUUACCAAGGCAACGAUGCGUAGCCGACCUGAGAGGGGGGUAGGCGAAAUUGGAAAUGAGACAGGGACGAGACGAUGACGGGAGGCCGCAGUCGGGGAUCGGCAGCAAUGUGUGGGAACCUGAAGGAUCAAAGCGGAGUGAGUGAGGAAGGUGUAAGUAUCGUAAAACUCUGUGAAGAGGGAAGAACAAAUGUGUAAGUAACAAGGCACGUAGUGACGGUACCUAAUCAGAAAGACACAGCUACCUACGUA
rnacentral:rRNA from 1 species